rnacentral:rRNA from 1 species
CAGCAGCCGCGGGAAUACAGAGGGUGCGAGCGUUAAUCGGAUUUACUGGGCGUAAAGCGUGCGUAGGCGGCUUCUUAAGUCGGAUGUGAAAUCCCUGAGCUUAACUUAGGAAUUGCAUUCGAUACUGGGAAGCUAGAGUAUGGGAGAGGAUGGCAGAAUUCCAGGUGUAGCGGUGAAAUGCGUAGAGAUCUGGAGGAAUACCGAUGGCGAAGGCAGCCAUCUGGCCUAAUACUGACGCUGAGGUACGAAAGCAUGGGGAGCAAACAGGAUUAGAUACCCCCGUAGUCCCUGUCUCUUAUAC